rnacentral:rRNA from 1 species
UACGGAGGGAGCUAGCGUUGUUCGGAAUUACUGGGCGUAAAGCGUGCGCAGGCGGCUUUGCAAGACAGAUGUGAAAUCCCCGGGCUCAACCUGGGAACUGCAUUUGUGACUGCAUGGCUGGAGUGCGGCAGAGGGGGAUGGAAUUCCGCGUGUAGCAGUGAAAUGCGUAGAUAUGCGGAGGAACACCGAUGGCGAAGGCAAUCCCCUGGGCCUGCACUGACGCUCAUGCACGAAAGCGUGGGGAGCAAACAGG